rnacentral:rRNA from 1 species
UACGUAGGGGGCUAGCGUUGUCCGGAAUCAUUGGGCGUAAAGAGCGUGUAGGCGGUUUUUCGGGUCCGCUGUGAAAACUCGAGGCUCAACCUCGAGCUGUCGGUGGAAACCGUAAGGCUAGAGUCCGGAAGAGGAGAGUGGAAUUCCUGGUGUAGCGGUGAAAUGCGCAGAUAUCAGGAAGAACACCCGUGGCGAAGGCGGCUCUCUGGGACGGUACUGACGCUGAGACGCGAAAGCGUGGGGAGCGAACAGG